GAAAUGCGAUAAGUAAUGUGAAUUGCAGAAUUCAGUGAAUCAUCGAAUCUUUGAACGCACAUUGCGCCCGCCAGUAUUCUGGCGGGCAUGCCAGUUCGAGCGUCAUUUCAACCAUCAAGCCCCCGGGCUUGUGUUGGGGACCCUGCGGCUGCCCGCAGGCCCUGAAAUGCAGUGGCGGGCUCGCUGUCCACCCCGAGCCUAGCAGCAUUACAUCUCGCUCGGGGCGUGCGGCGAGCUCCGGCCGUUAAUCGCGACCUUAACGCAGACCAAGGAUGACCUCGGAUCAGGUAGGAAGACCCGCUGAACUUAA
rnacentral:misc_RNA from 1 species